CCCCUUAUCCUAAAAAAAACCCUAUGCAAUACAAAACCAAAUUGACCCACUCACAAUUCCGUAUAACGCAGCGAAUCGUGACCCGCCCCGAUCCUAUACGUUUUCUUCUUCACUGCGUACAACUCCUCUCCAACAAACGCGAAUUCGCGAAAGAGCAGCAAGGGACGCAGAGUGCUCUGCUCUUCCUUGUCGUCUUCCUCAAGCGUAUCUCCAUAGUACCAUCUCAACAACAAAAGGGCACGUGGAAUCGCCUUGAAACCCUAAGAUGAAGUCACGUUGAGAAGCGGGUACACUCGACCAAUCCGAGCCAUUGAUUCCCUUUUCCUCUUCUGGAAUGAGGCAAAGUCUUCAUAAAAAGGUAUUUCUCUGUAAUAGGAAAGGAAUUGAAGUUUGAAUUCUAGAUGGGACUUGAACCCAUUUUCGAUCUAGAUUUUUUUACCCCAACUAACCCUAAUUUCCUCCCUAUAUAUCCCCAUCUAAAUGUUCCUUUGCGAGGUAGCACUUGGAGAGAUUUUUGGUUGGCUUUUCUUUUUGUUGAAGAAAAAUUGGGGAAAACGUUGAGGAAAAGUGGGCCAGUUAAAGAAACAAAAAUUCAAAAAACUAUCAGUCAUAUAUAUCUAUAUAUACUUAAGGAAAUAGGCUUGGGGAGAAUCCAAAUGUUUUGCUUAGUUCCUUGUUCUCGCUUGCCUCUGCUUAGCUUGUCAGAUUUCUUGGAGUCGUAUUUCGGUGGUGAUGUUAUCCGCAACUCGUUACUAUUUCUUCGCUGCUCCGAAAGAGACUAUGUUAGGGACUCGCCAUUGCAGUUGUUGGCUAGGGUUGUUUAUGUUGCUUCUGUUUUAUCGAAUAUUAAGAAAGGAGAAGCCGAAGGCGCCGAAGCUUGCCAUUCGCAUCUGGUGGAUGCUUCAGAGCUCUCCCAUCUUUGAAUGUUGUAGUUGUUGCUUGGAGUUGCUCGCUUUUUUGUUUUGUUGGUAUCUCGUCGGAGUAGCAAGCGAUUGGUAGUGCUGGUUUCGCUCCUCACCAGUUGUUGUUGCUGGUAUUUUGCUGCCUUCGCCGAAAUUGCUGAUCAUAGGAGCGAGGGGGAGAAAGAAGAAGCAGAAGAGAUAGAGACAAGGGAAGCGAUAGUGAGGCGACGCCGACACUGCUCAGCUCGCACGGCCACGCCUGGCUGCUUGCCGUAUGAAUGUAUAUACUAGCAUACAUCUAGUGCACCAAAUUUCUAGUUCUUAUUUAUAUUGAAAUUGGGUCAAAGCCCCAUCUAUUUUCAAUAUUAUUUUGUUAGUUUAGGAAAGGUGAAAGAAUUGGACCUAUGGCCCAACAAAAAAAUAUUGUUAGUUUAGAACAGGUGCAGGGAACUCAAAUCAAGUAGAUAUUUUACUUUCACUUAAUAAAAUUACUUAUCUUUUAUAAUAUUAGCC